GGGGGAGGGGAAGGAAGAGGAGGAGAAGAAGAAGAAGAAGAAGAAGAAGAAGAAGAAAGAGAAGAAAACAAAAGAUUGGCAACAGAUGUUAGCUCAGGUGCCAAUCUUUAAAAAGAAAAAAAAAAACUGAACUAUUCAUAGACAAAAAGGCUUGGAUGAAUGUCCACUGCUUUGUGUUAAGUUAAAGAAGCCAGACUCAAAAGGCUACAUACGAUAUGAUUCCAUGUAUAAGACAUCGGGAACAGGCUAGGAACAGAGAAGAGUUGGUAGUUGCCUGGGGUUAAGGGUGAGAGGAGGGUUUCACUACAAAUGGGCAUUACGAGGGAAUUUUUUAGGUGUAAAGGAACUGUUCUGUAUUCUGAUUUUGGUGCUGGUUAGAUGACUCUAGGCAUAUGUCAAAACAGAACUGUACACCAAAAAGAGUUAAUUUUACUACAUGUAAAUUUAAAAAGAAAUUUAUAAAAGCAAAGAAAAAGAAAAGAAAAGAAAAGGAAGAAAACGAAAGUAGCUCCUGGCUGGACCACAGCCUAUUUCAGAGCCAAGAAGGGAGCUCGAGGUCACAAGGGGACACUCCACUCGCUACUACGUGUUCCACUGGCUUUAGCCAAACCCUUGGUGUGAACAAGCAGUGGGAGGAACAUGGCCAUUUUCAAGGUGCAGAGGCCCUAAGGUUUGACUUAGGAAACUAGACAUAAAGAGAAAUCGUGGGAGAGGGCAACUGUGUUGAAGUGGACAAAUUGGUCUUCUCAGAAUGAAGUUGGGAAAAAUCUUUUGGUGUUACCACGUUGGGAAAGAACAAUGCAGAUCAGGGCUUAUGGUAUUCGGCCAAGAGAUCUGAAAAGCUGCUGGAAGACUUCCAAAGCUUGGACCCUUCAUGUUUUUCUUCUCUGCCAGCAAUUCAGUGAGUGAAGGCUGUGUCUAUAAAGGGAAACCAAUUCUUUGGGGCAAUCAGGCUUUAUGGCAGCAGAUUUUAAGCAUUUACAUAACAGUUGAUGGGUUCAGCUUUUACUCUCAAAUGUAAGGCAGAGAAGAAACAAGUUAUGGUGGUGAGAACAAGAGGUUUAGCCUCAAGCUUCCUUGGGUUAUAACAGGCUGUGUGGCCUGUGCUAGUUACUUACCCUCUUUAAGCCUCCAUUUCCUCCUCUGGGACAUAAGAUGGUUGUGAAGAUCAGAGAUGAGGCAGAAUGAAUUAAGAAUGAACUCUUCCCCCUGACUUCCACACUCAUGCACAUGUGAGAGGGCAGGGAGAGCCAUCCUCAGCCAGUGUUCAUCAGGAGCAGAUCAGGGUCAAACUCCUGUUCACAGAAGGGAUAUCCUUUCCUUAUAUGGGAUGGAGAUAGCCGUGAGGGAUGUCUCUAGAAAAAUGCAAUGCCCAUCUCAGCAUGGGGGCUUGCUUCCUAGCUAACUCAUGAGAAGUUCGUUGUAGCUCCUUUUGGUGGGAGUGAGACAGGAGUGAGAACACCUGCUAUCCCCUCAUUCCUGGGGCCAGAGUUUACUCCUUUGCCUUUGGGUUUGGCAAAAUGUGGGCAGGGGGGAGUUUCCACUUGCCUCCUAUUCAAGCUGAAGGGCUAGAGUCUGGAAACCACUGUCUUGUGUGGCGGGGCAGUUGGAGGUUCCCUGGAAGGAGAUACAGGAAUGAGGGGGUGUUGAGCGAGUGGGUUACAGGGGAGGGGAAGAGAUGGAGAGAGAGAGUGCACAUGAGCACACCAUUGUGGGGUGAGGUGCUUUCUGACACCCACAUCUGUCUGUAAGCCUUCUUUCUUUUGUGUGGAGAAAAGCAACAAGAAAUUAGAAAACAUGACAACCUCCAUGCCUUUUAUUCUGAACUGCUCAGCAUCAUGGUGUGAGUUCCUACUUCCAUUAUGGUUCUGUGUGUUGGGUCUUGAGAAGACUAAUUAGGUGGAGGUGCUUGAUGACCGAGACCUUAACUGUUGUGUGGUCAUUAUCAUCAUCACCAUAGUUAAUGUUUACUGAGCACUGACUACAUGCCAGGCCCUGUUUCAAGCACUUCAAUCAUUUUAACCUAUAUUUUGUCCUCACAUUAGCCCCAGGUGUCUACUUUUAUAUUAGAGAUGACUGUGGGGCACAGAUGGGUUAAGCGCCUUGGCCUUGAUCACACAGUAAGGGGAGAAUUUAAACCUAGGCCACUUGGGUCUCGAGCCCAUGAUCUUAAUCACCUUCCUGUGCACAGAGCCCCAAGUCACUCCCAUCCCCACAUGAGAAACUGCAAAAAUUAGUUCUCAGACAGAAGCUGCUGGUAUCAAGGGACCCUGUUUGGUUUUGAGACCCUUAGGAUGGGUGUAGUGAGAAUUAAUGGCUUGGAAAGGCACCGACACAUUGUCAGUGUUAGCAAGACCUUCACUCCCUGGAUUAUUUUUGCGUUCUCCCUGUGGCUGUAGCAUAACAAAUCACACUUUGCUUAGUUUCUGAUUAUCUAGAUGAACUUUCCCUUAAAAGAAAUUGAUUUGAGAACAAAUUGAAAAAAACUGAGAUCUAGCUCGGUAUCAAUGAUCAGAUGAUAUAACAAAUUCCACACUCGACUGAACUGAUAAUAGAACCAGUAAAACAAAAAGCCUAGAAGAGACUCUGAGGAGCCUCGAGUCCCUGCUUCCACAGAGAGAAAGGCAUCUAUCUGUUUCUUAAGGAAGUCUGAGCAUCACAUUUCUUGUAAAGAAAAGAUUCUUGGUGACUUUCUUCUUCUGCCCAUGCAUUCACUUUGUGCCUGGGGUAUUCAAAGCAGCAUACUUGUGAAGCCCAGUCCAUCUCUUCAGGAAGAUACCAGAGGAAAACCAUGAAGGGUUCAGUAGGCAUACAAGGCAUAAAACAGGACUGGAUUUAAAUUGAGUACCCAGGGUCAAUUCAAGGCCUUCCCUUCUCAGGUAGGCCGAAGUCCCAGUGUUGAGAACUAGUUACCACUGCCCUCGAAUUUUCAGAGCUGUGAGGAUGGAAGUCCUGUUGUGUGAUCUUUGGGAAGCUGUUGUUGGAGCUUUUGCCUCAGUUGGUUAAACUAACGUUCAAGUUUGGGCCAGUCCUCCUGAUGGGUUAAUAGGGAGAGGCAAGUCUUUUCUAAACUUGUCGGCAAGUGUUAUGUACCACGAACUCUUUCAUUUUCACCCAUGGCUAGGGUUGCUUUACUAUUAGCACAUGAAUCAAACUGUUAAGGACUACUGAUAUUUACUGUUCAACACACUAUUACAUAAGCACUCUUGUUGCCAUGGAACAUUUGACAUUUUGCAAAGCUCGCACUGAACCUACCCACAAAGAGUUGAAAUUUCUACAGUUCUUGAAAAGGACGCCUUGUUAUCAGUGAUGUUUUGAAUUGGUUGGUCAUGGUUUUCAAUCGUUGCUCUUCUUAUAGUAAUGACUGUAUUUAAAGAUUUAAGGAUGUAUGUUUAUUAAUUAUCUUUCCUUAGUGUAACUUAUAUUAUUACCAUUUUGAUUUUGUCAUUCUUUUCUUUAUCUUUUUUUAUCAUUGAGAUAAAUGAUAAAAAUUCCCACUGGUAAGCGGUAAUUAGUAGGGUAGAUGGGUCACUGAGUCCUUUUUGCUCCAUCUGUAAGAACCACUGGAUGGAACAUGGUGUUAAAUAUCCGGUAUAAACUUACUUCCAUUGAUUCCUUGCUGUGAGCCAAGUGGCUAGGUCUAUGAGUGCAGGGCCAGCAGGGCAGAUCAGAACCACAGCCUCUGCCAGAAAAAACAAACGAAAAACCAAACCAAACCAAUAACAAUGAGAAACUCCAAAGUGCAUGCUCUCUAGCUGCAGAAGGGCACUCUUUCAAAUAAGAAACAAGGCCUUAAUACAACUUCCCCUUUGUAAUCUGGAGACCUGUAUCUUGUUGUUUGUACACUCACAUCUAGACUCUGUUCUUGAGAUGACACGUUUGAGGCUCUUCACAAUACUGGUUAACUUUGCCCAGCAAUACAUCCUGCCACUUCCCCAUUAUCCACACUCUGGCUUGGGUGACUGUGUCCCCUCCUCACACACAUCAUGCACUGCCAUCUCUAUGCCUUUGCUGAGGCUGUCAUCUCAGUGUGGGAGUGUCUCCCUCGCCUCCAUCUCUAUGCGUGUGUCUAUAUGUGCAUGCACACACAUGUACAUGCUCCCCUUGACUAUCUGGUGAGCUCUAACGCAUCCUUAAAGAUCUAGUGCAGCCCUGUGUGAUUCUCUCUUAUAGCUUUUCCAUUAUAGUACACUUUCCAGUUCAGGAGAGCUGGUUUUGUUCUUAGUUCCAUUGUGCAACUGGAUCAAGACCCUCAUCUCUCUAUGAUUUUUGUAAAAUGACAAUAAUUCCUUUAUUUUAUUUAUUUGUGAGGAAUAUUGGCCCUGAGCUACUAUCUGUGCCAAUCUUCCUCUAUUUUGUACGUGGGACGCUGCCACAGCAUGGCUUGAUGAGUGAUGUAGGUUCACACCCAGAAUCUGGUCCUGUGAACCCCGUGCUGCUGAAGCAGAGGGUGCGAACUUAAUCAUUAUGCCACUGGCUAGCUCACAAUAAUCCCUUUAAUCAGAUGAAGUUUUUUAAAUAUUUGUGAGAAUCUUCAGAUAAAGAAUUUAAUGGAAUGAGUUUUUUGUAAUUUGACCGAUGAGCCAAAUUCUUUCUUACGUUUGAUUUAUGUCUGUUUGCAUCUGUGUUUGUAAGAGAAAGGCAUAAUGUUGAAGCUAUGUAUGUUGUCUCAUGCUCUCUCAUGACCUCUGUCAAAUGUACUCUGUGUUAUUCACAUUUUAUUCCACACAGUGCAGAAAACACCGACUGUUCAGUCAGUGACGAGUUUCCAACAAGUGAUAGCUCUGGGAGGGACAUGUUGUUCGGAAAUGUACAAGGCUACACAGUAGGGCUAGAAAGCUUGAUUAGUCCAUAUGGCACAUUCUGUACUUUGCAAGAGAAGCAAGACAGAUGUUUGUCUCAAUUUCAUUUAAAAGGCAUUUUCCUCAGAUUUAUAUGCUGAACCACAUGACCGACAUGUUUUCUUCAUAACUCUUUCACCCCAUGUGUUACCCAUUAUGGAUUCAGAAGGCUGCAAACACCACAGCCGGUGUGAAUUGGCAGAGGACAUAUGCAGAAAGUAGAUUGUUUUGAGUUAUCCCCUCUGUGGGGUUUCCCUCAGCUCAUCCUGAUCAUCACCCACAAGAUGCCCUCCGGAAUCUGGAACUGGGUUCUGGCAUUCCUAGAUGUGAAUGCUAGGACUUCAAACUGAAUCUCUUGGCUGUUCCUUUAGGGCUUUUCUAUUAGUUAGAAUCCCAUACUGGGGAGCAUCCUUUUAUAUACUAGAAAGGAAGAAACUUUUAAAAAACAAUUUGAUAUAUUUCUUUAUUCAAGGGCCAUUUGUGCAUCUAAGAUGGACUAGGCACUGUGAUGGGUACAAGAGAUACACAGAUGAACAAGACAAAAUCUUUGCCCUUCAAGAGCUCUAUGUCUGCUGCCAAGGGACAGUGCGCUGUGGGGAGAGCCAGAACACAGGUCUGGAUCAGGCAUCACGGAGACCUUGAGGGAUGUAGGAACAACUCUGGGGAUGCUGGGAAAGGCUCAUGGAGGAGGUGACAUUUGGGUUGGGUCUUGAAGGAUGAGCAGUAUUUCACUAGUUUCAACCUUACAGAUAUAAGCAAAAGAUUAUCUUGCUUCAUUUCAGAUAAAAUAAAUAGAUGUAUCAAAAUCUGAUUUGUUUGGCAGAGGGUCACAAGUAAGAUUUGUUAGAUAAUUCCAAAUCAGUUGUCAAAUAUAAGCCACUGUCUUUAUUACAAUUAUAAGCAAAUACUGAUAGGACAUGAUAUUUGGUUUCCCAUCCAAGAAUUCACCCAAAAACAGAGUAAUAAAGAUAUCAUGUGAGAUUUCAGGACCCACUAAAAGGCUUUUCGAAGAAUGUUUUGCAAUACAGGCAGUUCUCACUUUGCGUGGUUCUGAUAUGUAUGGAUGCUGGUUACCAUGGUUUGCUGAAAUUAUACCAGCCCCCAGACAACACAGUUCAAAUUUCAGUGCCUGUGGUAUGUUAACUGUGAGCAAUUGCAUGAAGUACGAGUUCUACUGCUGCCUCUUCAGUCUGUGAAUGGCUAUGUAAAUAACAGACGUAAUUUACAAUCAGCGACCAAUCCUGUUGCCUCCUUGUCACUUAGUCAUGAAGUGACAUGUCACGAAAGUGGAUAAUCAAAAGAGAGAAGUGGCCAAUAAAGAUAAAAAUACAGCAAAGAACCAAAUUUGAUAGUGCUGGAAUUGAAAUUCGAAUCAAAUAUAAAUGGAGUUACAGGAGAAGCAACUGACUGUGGAAUUGUUGACCCCGCCACUAGGACACUCUAGAAACGCAGCCGGAGGAACUUAGUGAAGAGGAACUUACAAACAUGAGGGAGGAAAGUGUUUGAGACGAGAAGGAUUAAGAUAACUCAGGAAGUGACGCCCGCAAAAAUUCUUCACGUUAAAGGAACUCUUGGAGUUAUUUCACAACAUUGAAAGCACAAACAAUAGUGUUGGAGGCUGACUCAAAUUCAGAAGAGAGGAUGGCAAUUUGCCAAGGCACAGAAAAGAUGUUCACUCCGUAGUUACAAGAAAAAGAAAGGAAAUCCAUUUCAAGCUCCUGUUGAUAUGUUAUUUUUUUUUUUCAAAUAAAUAAAAUAAUUCUCACUGUUUCUAACUUUUAAAUUUGGUGUACUAAAUAAAUAUUAGUUUUACUAUUUUUUAUUUCCCUGUACAUUUAUAACCAACAGUAAGAGAGUUUUCAAAGUUUUGACAAAAAUUUUUAAAGGCCAUGGAAUAAUAGCAAUUUUUUGCAUUGAUUAUUCAGAUCACUUUGCAUGGUUUCAGCUUGCUCAGUCAUUUUUAUGGUUCCCUGCCACCAUGCCAAGCAGGAACUUCCUGUGCUUUGAAAAGACCAGAGACACUAAGAGCCGGUAAAAGCCCAUAGCAGGGAAAUAGAUGAAUCUGCUUCUGUUGUCAAUUCCAUUCUUACAACGAAGGCUCUAGCUGUUUAAACAGGGUGCUUAGCUUUCUAUUUAAAAACUCUUCCAUUUCAUAGGGCAGGGGGCCCUUCCAGGACGCAACACUAAUCUUAAGAAGUUGUAUAUAAAUUUUGCAACAUGGACUAUUUUCAUCUCUUUGGCCUCCUAAAGACUUUCCCAGUUGCUAUUUGGACCUGUUAGAGCUCUCCUUCGUGGAGGGCAAGUUGUGUUCUGUCCUUUGAGUAGAGAAAAGUUCACGGUGAGAUUUGCUUUUUAGCUGUAGGUCAUGUACUGGUGGAGUCCCCAGGUCGGUGAAGACUGUUGUCAGGAACAUUGUUUUUUUUGUUUGUCUGUUUAAAGUUUGGCGCCUGAGCUAACAACUGUUGCCAAUCUUCUUCUUCUUUUUUUCUCCCCAAGUCCCCCAAGUACAUAGUUGUAUAUUUUUUAGCUGUAGGUCCUUCUAGUUGUGGCAUGUGGGUUGCUGCCUCAACAUGGCCUGAGGAGGUUGUGCUGGGUCCGCACCCAGGGUCCAAACCAGCGAAACCCUGGGCCUCCAAAGCAGACCGUAGGAACCCAACCACUCAGCCACGGGCCUGCCCCCAGGAACAUCGGUUUUUGCCUGCACAGGGUCCGUUACCCAGUCUGCUGAUAAUCGUCCCCAGCUUUGGGGAUAUGCAUUUCCCAUUGUAUACAGUAUUUGUGGGAAUCUCUUAGGUGCCUCACACUUCCUUAGCUUUUCUGCCUGGAAUUCAAGCAGUGAAUAGUGUGACCACUGUAGCUGAGUCUCCCCAAGCAGAUGUAUGUUGCAAAGCUGUCCAUUAAUUCUGCUCCUUAAAUCCCCAGAAUUGCUUUAACUCCCAUUCCUUCUGAAUCUCAUUACACUGGUCCCUCAGUAUCCAUGGGGGAAUGUGUUCCACCAUCCCCCCAAGGAUACCAAAAUCUGGGAUGCUCAAGUCCCUUAGUCAGCCCUCAUUAUCGGCGUUUCCGAGACCAACCUCAGAGGGUAAACUUGGUACAGGAUCUGCAGUUGGUUGAUUCCCCCGAUGCCUAACCUGUGAAUGUGGAGGGCCGACUAUAUGGAAGUUUUCCUUUAAUUUUGCAGAUUACCUUGUAUUCUUCCAAUAGAUCUCCCUUUUCUUUUUUUUGCCCAAGUUAGCCAGAAUUCGUUUCUUUGUUUAAAAAAUAUAAACUGUAUUUUGCUCUUAAACGGGGUCUAGUGAAAAAGUAAGGACAAACUUUAAAACCUUCAUGUAAAAGAGUAGUCAUGAGAUGCAUUUCCAAAUCUUCACAAAUCAAAGACCAAGAACUAUCAGAGACCCUUGACUCAAUUCAAGGAUUUCUCGUUCUUUCUUCAAAUGGACACUUUCUGGGGCAGUAGCCCCAAACUCAAAAAAGUAACUAGAUCUAAAAAAUGGAAGUAUAUUACAGAUUCAUUCUUUCAUUCACUCAAGGUCCAAGUGAGUGGAGAAAGGAACAUCCUGCCAUGAAAAAAAGAUUUCAUUUAUUUAUUAAAUUAUUUGUUGAGCACAUACUAUGUAGCAGGCACUAUUCUAGUCAUGUAGGAUAAACCAGGAAACAAAAAAGAGAAAAAUCUUUGCCCUCUUUGAGCUCUCAUUCUAGCCUGGAGACCCAAAGGGAACUCUUCGUGGCCGUUAUUAUUUUGAUCCAGUGACUAUUAGGUAUAAUGUAUAGAUCAAAUAAAAUUUUACUUGCGAUUUUGGCUUUUUGCCUCAAAUAGAAAUGAAACCCAAACUAAUAGCUUUCAGAAGCGUUCAAUUAUUUUCAUAGUUCUGGCCUUUCCACUUAUUUUCCCUUUGGUCAAUCAUGGCCAAAAUUGGAAGACAAUCAUGUCUAGCCUGGUGAAUUCAGAUAUCGCCAAGAGAUUCAGCAGUGUCUGUGCCUGGAGCUUGGCACAAGCCCCUGCACACUUGUUGCUCAAUAAGUGUCGGAUGAUGGAUAUUUCUGAUCUGAAGCCGGAUUUCUCAAUAGAUGAUGGGAAUGAUCUUGCCCCGGGGGGAGGAGAGCUCCUUUCGCCUCUCUUCCUUCCCCAACUUCUGGGAUGAAGGGAAAAUUGCUAUGGAAAUGAACAUCCACAAGGCAUUUACUGGCUCAGUUUCAUGAUAAUAAAGGCAAAGGGAUGAGUCCUUUGGCAAUCGAUGUGAAUUCUAACAUCUCUAACUGCUUUUGGCCAGUUGGCUAUUUUAAUUAAGGUAAAAUUGAAUACGAGCUUUCUUUUUCCGAAGUUGCCAAUAAAACUAUAUUAUGAAUCCCUAAAGAAAUACGUUUUGAAAACAACUCACUGCCCUGCUUAUAGAAUUAUGUUAUUUAGGAACUGUUCAGUAGAAACUGUGACAUCUGAUAUACAAGGUGUAUAAUGGGAAGUCAGUGAGCACUGUGGCCAGUGGGAAAUAGGAGACAGAAGGAAAUGAGCAGAUAAAUACUCUAUUUGUUCUUCCAAGGGGAAGUCCAGAGGCACUGUCUUUUACGUAGUGUGUCUGUGGACAUCCUGCAAGGAUGUGUGGUUGGCUGUGUCUCUUCACGAAGUGGUAGCCAGCUCAGUUCCCCGUCACCUUGUAUUGGCUUCCAACCCCUCCUUAUCUCACAUCUCUUUCCCCCCACUCUCACUCUCCUAGAAUUGCAUCUUCCAAAAUGCAUUAGCACUUAAGCCUUGCUUCAGGUACCAUUUUUAGAAUACCCAAGUUAUGAGACGAGGUGAUCAAGUUUUCCCCAAAUGGAUAGCCCUUUUUCUUCAAACUAUUUACUAAAAAAUCAGUCCUUCCUCACAUGGAUACCUAGCACUGUUUCUGGACUCUGCUCUGUCACAUUGAUUUGUCUGUCUUUUUCCACAGUUAUCCCACUUUUAAUUCCUAAGGAUUUAGGGUUUGGUAUCUGGUAGGUUCUAAAUAAGUCUAAUAAGUUCACUAUCAGCUUUUUUCCUUCCCUCAUGCUCUGCUCUCACCUCUACUUUGAUUUUGUUUUUCUGUUUCAGUUUCACUCUCCUUCUUAGCAUGGAAUCUGUCACCAACCCCUCUGAUCUACUGCCAGCAUUUCAGCCAGCCUUAUCUCUUAAUCCAAAAUUCCUUGCAGUUUGACUAUUAUAAAAAUAAUUGGUAAUGCAAAAGAGACUGCUGGUAAUCUCCUGAUAUCUAUUUUCUCUUUUUUUCGUUAUGAUAGAACCUUGACUUUUGACUGUACAUGCAGUCUUCAGAAUGGCAAUCCCAUUUCCCAGACUCCUUCGUAUCUAGAUUUGGCCAUGUUACAAAGUUCUGUUCACUGAGAUCUAAACAGAAAUGUUAUCUGUAAGCUUCUGACAAAUUUCUUAAGAGACAGUGUGAGCGCUCUUUACCUCCACCUCUUCAUUAUCCUUUCCUCCAUCCUGCUGCCGGAAGUGUUCCAGCCGCCAUCUUGUAUCAUGAGGUUGAGGCUAUUCACAGGGAAGCAGUAAGGUAGAAGGGAGGUUAGUCUCUGGCUCUGUGGAGAACAGACCAGCCUUGGACCUCCUACCCUGAGACAUAAAUCAACUUGCAUAUUGUUUAAUACUGUUAUUUAGGGAUUUCUGUCAUUCACAGACAAACUGAAUCUGAGUUAGUAUGUUGGAGAAAUGAGAUGAAGACUGCAGGAUAGAAGGAGACUAUUGGGAAGAGGUGUGAAUUAGAAUUUUCUUUUCUAAUCUUAUUGAGAACUUUAGGCACCUUAAUGAAACUUUUAGCUUUUGUCUAAUGUGACCCUUGUGGACUUCAAGGAAGUCAUUUGAUAAAUCAAAUGUUCAGAAGGUUCAGAAAGAGUCAACCAGAUCUUAUAGUAGCCCGGAAUCUUAGAAAUCUCUACCACCACCCCCAUACUGAAUUGCUUUCUGUUUCACAGACAUCAAACACUGUUUUUCACAUGGUUUCUCGACAGAAGGGAGUGAAAAGCAAGAAACUUUCUGGUUAUAUGAUUAAAAUAUUCUAAAAAGCUGGCCUGGGGGAGACUGGUUGAGAAGUGCUAAUACCUCCUUCUGUUGUUGAAGGAUGUGUGCCUUUGGUUAUUGAGAAAUGGAAAGAAAACACAUGAAUGAGGAUUAUGUCAUUAUAAAAUCAGCACUCUUCUUUUUUUGUCUCUAUGUGUUGUCAUCUCAAAGCACUCUUCCACCUAUGGUGCUUGGCUCACUAAUGUGCCGGCAUGUGCGGUUGUAAGCCUUUCUCUGAGAAGUUUGGGAGACCUUCUUUGACAGACAUGAUGGACUUUGUCUAGUGAAGGGAAAAAAUCUUGGCUGUACGGUUUAAGGAUAAGGAAGUUUAUAUCUCCUCUCUGGAGCAUAUGUUUAUGUGAACUUGCUGAAGGGCCUUGAUCUCCCACGUACCUGCAGAUCUGGUUACACAGAAGAUUCCAGGAAACCAGAGCUAAAUAUUUUCCCAGUGACCUUCAGAGAGAAAAUAUUGGAGGCAGGAGAGAAAGGAGGGCAAAGCUCCACAAUUCUGGGCUCUUUGGAGAGUUUGUUCAAAGAUCAGAGUCAUUCAAGUGGUGGCUGGCGUAGGAAAUAUGACAAGGGUCGGGAACGUCGGAUAAAAUGAACACCAAUUGAAAGCAAAACCACUAAGAGGAAAACCAAGCAAUGCAAUGCUUGUUUUGGUGUUAUUUUGCUCACCUUCUGUUAAAAGACUGCUGGGGGUAGGAAGGAAGAAAUGACGAUAAACAUGGGGCCGGCUCAGCAAUCCCUAUGAGCGGGGUGGUGGGCCACAGGGAAAGCGCCAUCCUUCCUGAAGUGGUUUCCGCACCACCCCCGCUCCUGCUGGGCCCCACUCCCCAGGCCUUUAGGUUAUGCUGUUGCUUCUAAAACACUCUGUUUAAAGGUAAUCCUGAAACGUGAGAGGGUUAGUUCAUCGGUCCACCCUCACAGUGAGAGAUUAACUGACUAGUUUAGGAGUUCAGGGCCUGUGGGAGUUGAACCCAAGACAGAGACAUUUUGGAAGGGGCUUAGGGGUUUGAUUUUUUGGAGACCAGCCCACUGCUGGGUUAGGACAGAGGAAGGCCAGGGCAGUGUCCAUCCCAUAGGCAGAGAGCCAAGGGCAGGGUAAGUAGUAAGGCACAAAAGGAUGAGAGAGGAAAGGUCAAAGGUAACAUAGUUUUGUAUCAGUGCAGUUUUAUAUUCCACACUUCAGUGAGAAGGCAUAUUUCCAAAUCCCCAGUCUUUCCUUUAUUAAUUCACACCUUUAAAAUGAUGGGCCUUGAGGGUAAUGAAUAUCAAGGAUCUCUAUUUUUUCUCACGUAGGGAGUUCAGAUUCAGAGCUUUAGAAAUUAAAUGAAAAACAGGGGAGCUGGGAAAGUAUAUUUCUGCGUAAUACAUGAGGAGAUUCCAGCUUGACCUUAAGCCAUGUUCACUUCUUGGAGACAUGUUGGGACUCCUGGUGGGGCAGAACCUGCAGAGAUGUAUUUGCAUGAAUGCUUGAUGGGCCUCCUAGGAGAAAACUCAGCCUAAAAAAAGAGAGAGUAAGUUAGAUGCACUCGAUCUGGUGAAGGAGAUUUAGCUCAGGACCAUCAGAGGGGAGAAGGAGACUUUUGAAUAAUGUACACUGUCUCUCAUUUGGCUUUUUUUCCAGCCCAGCCUCUCAUGGAGUACUGUCUGAGUUCUAGGAGAGUGGGAUGGAGGACGAAAAUGGAGUCCUUCAUGAAACUCUCUGAAGACAUCCUUGGACAACAGUAUUAUGUUGUUAUUCAGCUGGGCAAGGAUAGUCCACAAAAGAGGUAUAGGUCCCAAUUCUAUGUGGGACAGAGUGUGGUUCCAUGCACUGAGGACUCCGGAGGACAUGGCUUUGGAAACUUCAGGAUGUCAACAUACUGGUCCUGAGAGUACUCAGAGUGGGGAGGUGGUCCUCCAGGGAGGUGGCUGCAGUGCUCAAGGGAAACCACGAAGGAGCCAGACACAGAAGAACCCCACAGAUGGGGGCUGGGUAGAAGAGAAGUGGGAGAAAAGUAGGAGAUACCACCUGACUUGACUGUGAGCACGAAAAGACCUCCUGGGGCCGCCUUGUUCUUCUGCGGGGGAGGGCAGUGCUGCAGUGAUGGAAGGAACCAAUUGGGAGACUGAGCUCAAGGAGUCGCUACCACCUGGGCUCGUUUAGCUGGAUGGGGCAUGGCUGCUGCACACAGAACAAAAGUGAAGGACAAUACCUGUUCCUGAGGAUGCGAUGCUUACCCAAGAAGAUGUUGAACAUGAGGGAUGCUUUGUGACCAAGAAAUUACAGUCUUCUGAGAGGACUCUGGCAGAGAGCCCUGUAUGGAGGAGGAGGUGCUCCUUGGGAGACCCCUUUGAAGAGUAAGAAGGGAGUGGGGGGUUUGAGGAGGGCUGAGCAGGUGAGAGCCGGCCAGAGGAGACUUGCUGAGCUGGUACACAUCAUGGGAGGAAGACGAGGAAAACCAGGCUGCGAUAAGGUGAGCCUCUGAAAGCCAUUUGUCAGGCUUUUCCCCAAGGAGGGACUGUGCCCUGAGAGGUGGACUAAUGGGGGUACUUUAGGUUUAAUGGAGGACCUUUCAAGGACCUCUUGAUGUGCUGCGUCUCUCCAUCUCAUCAGCGAUUCUUCUGUGCCCAAGACACCCUGAGAGACACUGGAGUUAUGAAAAGGUAUGCACUAUCUCCACCUUCAUAGAGCCGACGAUACCUCUGAGGGGACCAGACCUUCACAAAGACAUGCACAAUCUUAUUUGUUUAGCGAUGGAACUUUGUGGAAACAUGGCUAACGCAGCACAGUGUAUGCUAUGUAGAGGAUGAAUCAGACCGCCAAAACCAUAGUCUGAUUCACUACUUGACAAUCUUUUUCUCGAACAAUGAGCUAUUUUUCAAAUGUAAAUGAAUUUAAAAUUUCUCUGAAAUGACCAAAGACCCCUUUUUGUUUUCAAAAGGGAAAUGUACAGUAUACCCAGGGAGCUGGCUUCCCAGUUUCUUUUCUCUCUGCUCAUAAAGGCAACAGUGGAAUAAGGCUUCAGAGGGGCUCUGUGCUCCGGAUGCCACAUGAUAUGGGCAGCAGGUUCCACACUGACCUCUUGGGCAGACGAAGUGGAGCUGGCUGAACAUUUCUCGCUGUGCCUGAACUGUUCUCUCUGUGCUUUUCCCCUCAAACUUUCCCUUUGGUACCAGAGCCCUUUAGGGAUGACUCAUGCAUUUACUUAUUUAUUUAUUCAGCACAUACUUUGACCCCCAUCUAUGUGUCAAGCACAGUAUAAGCCACUGGGUAUCUCAUGAUAUAUAGGCUCAAAUAGUCCCUGCACGCAAGGAUCUUAAAAUCUAGUGAGAGAGACAACGUUAUUAGUGUAACAAUAAUUAUACACAUUAUUUUGCUGUGUAAUAUUGCUGCCUAAACAUUACAGUUAGAUUAACUAUAAGAUAAUUUAUAAAAUCCCAACAACUAAUGAACAUGGGUGGUCAUUUUCCCAAAGCCACGCACACGUCAUAAUUUAAUUAUACUGAUGAAAACGACACUGGCAAAGAACAGGGUGAUGAGAGAAUAUAGUGGCCGCCUAUCCUAGCCCGUACGGUCUGAAGAAAGCUUUCCUGAGAAAGUGACUUUUAGAAUAAAACUUAAAGAAUGAAUAAAAGUUGGCCAGGGGAAGGGGAAGUAAAGAUGAAGAACAGAAUGUGGCCCAGGCAGAGGGAACAGGACAAACAAAGGCCCUGGGGCCUUUGAAACUAGUCCCAGUGGAUUUGUGAACUCUUUCAGAGAUGCUCCACGCUGGUCCCCUUAUACUUUUCAAAGAAAGAAAGUUCAAGAUGCUUCCAACUUCCCACGUUUAUAUGCUAUCAGCUUAUUCCCAGCUCCCCCUGCUUUCCCCAUCUCCCCUACUCUCAGCUCUCUGGCCAUGACACUCAGUCAUAGCCCGCAUGGCGUAGUGGCGUCCUCUGACCCUGGGCAGCAGAGCGUUGGUAGAAGUCCUAUGUGUCUAGACAAAAGAUUGGUUAGUUUUUUCGAAAGCGAGUGUUCCAGGUCUGACUCAACCUGACUGAGAGCCAAGAAAGAGAUGAUAAGGCUGAUGGAAAAGAUCUCCUUAAUGAACGGCAAUAAAAAACAGCCCAAAGGUGAAGGCACGCAAUGGCCUUGGCGUUUCCUGCGGCUGCGGCCCCAGACAGGCUCUUGAAAGCGCUCAAGGAUAAGAGGUAGGAAGGCCAUUUUAUUUCCCCUCUGCUACUUGUAUUUUAACACUUUCCUGCCUCUCACGCUAAUCUCCAUUCCCCACACCUCAUGCUCCAAACAGUCGCCCUUUAGUUUUAGGGGGUAAAUAUUAUCCCUCUUGAGUGGGAUAAGAUGUCUAGGUCACACAGCCCACAGGAAUGGAGACUAUUCAGUCAACUUUCCUGGUGGUCCCUGUUUUAACCCUUUCAACCUCAAUGCAUUCAUUUAUAAAAUGGUUGGAAAGACGAGCCUAUGAUGUCACCACGAGGACUGAGAGUUUAAACAACGGGUUAUAAAUGAUAUGGAAUGUUGGCUAUUAAAGAGGAAAAUUCUGCUAUGAUUUCCUAAGCAUCCCAGGUGGCCAUUCCCCAAGGUGGAGGAGUUGUCACCUUAUGGGCACUUAAGGAACCUCACUUCAGGGGACCACCAAUGUAAUGGUAAUCAGGCAGGGUUUUUUUGUCUUCCCAGAAAUAAGAAAUAUAAACAAGGUUUAAAUUAGUAGCCAACAGACAUACUUUGCUCUCAAUUUUAAUCAGAAAAAUUUAAAAAACAAAGACACGUCUAACCUUUUAAAAACACUCUGUAAUUAUGAAGCCCUUCCAAUAUAGUGAGUGAAAAAUAGAUCUCAUUUAGGU
rnacentral:lncRNA from 1 species